rnacentral:rRNA from 1 species
AGAGUUUGAUCAUGGCUCAGGAUGAACGCUGGCGGCGUGCUUAAUACAUGCAAGUCGAACGAAGCACCUUGGACAGAAUCCUUCGGGAGGAAGACCAUUGUGACUGAGUGGCGGACGGGUGAGUAACGCGUGGGUAACCUGCCUUGUACAGGGGGAUAACAGUUGGAAACGACUGCUAAUACCGCAUAAGCGCACAGUACCGCAUGGUACGGUGUGAAAAACUCCGGUGGUACAAGAUGGACCCGCGUCUGAUUAGCUGGUUGGUGAGGUAACGGCCCACCAAGGCGACGAUCAGUAGCCGACUUGAGAGAGUGAUCGGCCACAUUGGGACUGAGACACGGCCCAAACUCCUACGGGAGGCAGCAGUAGGGAAUAUUGCACAAUGGGGGAAACCCUGAUGCAGCGACGCCGCGUGAAGGAAGAAGUAUUUCGGUAUGUAAACUUCUAUCAGCAAGGAAGAAAAUGACGGUACUUGACUAAAAAGCCCCGGCUAAAUACGUGCCAGCAGCCGCGGUAAUACGUAUGGGGCAAGCGUUAUCCGGAUUUACUGGGUGUAA